GUUUACAGCCAUACCACCCUGAACAAGCCCGAUCCCGUCUGAUCUCAGAAGCUAAGCAGGGUAGGGCCUGUUUAGUACUUAGAUGGGAGACCACGUAGGAAGACCAAGUGCUGUAGGCA
rnacentral:rRNA from 1 species